UGGGGAAUAUUGCGCAAUGGGCGAAAGCCUGACGCAGCGACGCCGCGUGAGGGAUGAAGGUUUUCGGAUCGUAAACCUCUGUCAGAAGGGAAGAAACCGCACUGUGCUAAUCAGCAGUGCCUUGACGGUACUUUCAAAGGAAGCACCGGCUAACUCCGUGCCAGCAGCCGCGGUAAUACGGAGGGUGCAAGCGUUAAUCGGAAUUACUGGGCGUAAAGCGCACGUAGGCUGCUUUGUAAGUCAGGGGUGAAAUCCCACGGCUCAACCGUGGAACUGCCUUUGAUACUGCUUAGCUUGAAUCCGGGAGAGGGUGGCGGAAUUCCAGGUGUAGGAGUGAAAUCCGUAGAUAUCUGGAGGAACAUCAGUGGCGAAGGCGGCCACCUGGACCGGUAUUGACGCUGAGGUGCGAAAGCGUGGGGAGCAAACAGG
rnacentral:rRNA from 1 species